AUUGAACGCUGGCGGCAGGCCUAACACAUGCAAGUCGAGCGGAGCGGCGGACGGGUGAGUAAUGCCUAGGAAUCUGCCUGGUAGUGGGGGAUAACGUCCGGAAACGGGCGCUAAUACCGCAUACUAUCAGAUGAGCCUAGGUCGGAUUAGCUAGUUGGUGGGGUAAAGGCCUACCAAGGCGACGAUCCGUAACUGGUCUGAGAGGAUGAUCAGUCACACUUGAACUGGGACACGGUCCAUGCUCCUGCGGGAGGGCACAGUUGGGAAUAUUUGACAAUUGGGGGAAGCCUGAUCCAGCCAUGCCGCGUGUGUGAAGAAGGUCUUCGGAUUGUAAAGUACUUUCAGCGGGGAGGCGUUACCCGCAGAAGAAGCACCGGCUAACUCCGUGCCAGCAGCCGCGGUAAUAC
rnacentral:rRNA from 1 species